rnacentral:rRNA from 1 species
AUGGAGGAUUGGGGUGUCGGAUAUUGGGACUCGCAACAAGGCAUUGUUGUUCAAACACACACUUGCACAAGUUCUUCAGUCAUUAUGAUUUACCAUGGGUUAAUCUUGUUGUGUGGGACACUUAUUAUGAGCCUAGACCACCUUAGGGCAGGAUGGUUGGGUCUUUCUGGUGGAAGAGCAUCCUCAAAUCACUCCCCAAUUAAAGGCUGUUGCUCAUUAAGGAGGGGCACCUCAAACAUCAAUCCAAGCAGUCUCUGCUGGAAAGUUCUUCUCAAACAGGAUCUCAAGAUCAUGAGCUACAGGAUCAAGGACCACAAGUGUCGCGAGGAGGAGCGGCCCGAUGGCAUAUUUGCAGCAACACCCCCCACGUUGCCGGACAAAUACCCGAACUCCUCCCCUGUCUCUCCACCUCCCCUGUUCGAGCCGAUCAAACCGGCGGAGAAGGUGACGGAGGCGUGUGCGGCAUGGUGCGGCGUGGUUGUCGCCAUGUUCCGGCGUCGUGGUCGGAGCAGCGGGCGCAGAGGGGUUUCUUCUCGCGGUGGUGAAGAGGAGGCGCCGCCGCCAUGUCUCCUGUUCGUCGCCCCGAUGGUGCCCCUGCCCCUGUUUACCAAAAUUGGGGAUUUCUGGUGUUGUACUGUUCAAAAAGGAGCAAGAAGUGAGAAGUUCUCAGUGCUGUUUCAUCAUGGUGGGUUUUUCAUGGGUGAAGGAAGCAAUAGGGCUUAUGUUGAUGGGCAUCAAGUUUGGUAUGACAGUUUGGAUAAGCUCACUUGGUCUCCAAUAAUGGUGGAACAUCUAGUAGAAGAGAUUGGCUGGGAGAUGGCAGGCAGGUUGAAGGCAUAUUAUCAAAUCCCAAUACUUGACAUUACUCAGAAUUCUUUGAGACAUAUCAGAUCUGAGGCAGAUACUGAUCAAAUGAUGAUGUUUCUGUCUAUUGGGCAUAAUUUCUUCAAUAUUUAUCUUGAUCAUGAUGACAGCUUGAUUACUAAGAAGGUUGUUGAUGAUGUGGUCCAAUUUCCAAGGGCUGAACUUCCACCAGUGUUUAGCCCUUCAAAAGAUGGUACUAAUCCUCAUAGUAGCAAGCCUAGAAAUUCAAAAGAAGACUGCCCUAUACCAAUUCAGGUUGUGUAUCCAAACAAUGUGCUAGACAGGGAAGAAGAUGGCAAUCCAUUAAUGUUUGUAAGAAGGCAGUGCACAUUUGGUGAAGGAGCAGAGGAGAAUACAGAGCAACAAGGACAAGCAGGGCAACAUGAUGAUGUACAGCAACAUCAAGAUGCAGAGCAUGUAGGCCAAGAAGGAGAAGCAGAGCCACAUGAAGAUGCAGAGCAAGUAGAGCAACAAAGAGAAGCAGAGCAACACGCAGUAGAUGAAGAUGCAGAAGCACAUCAAUUGAGGAGAACCAGAGCAAAGAAGAGAUGUUUUGAAGCCAAUGUAGGAACAGAUAGUGACUCAGAUGACAGUGACUUUGAUCCUGGUGACAUGGUAGAUAGUGACUUUGAAAUCAGUGAUGAUCUUAUGGACCAGCAGACUGUAACAAGCUUUUUGUUUGAUGAGCAGCAGGCCAACACAAGUGCAGAGACCAGUACAGUAGUAGAAGAUCUUAUGGUGGAUCACAUGCUUCAGCAGAGGCCUUUGCCUAGAGUGCUUCAGCACACACCAAUCCUAGAAUCAACAUUCCUAACAAAUGCACAAGCAAUGCUGCACCAGGCCCAGACAAGCACUAACACAAUCAGGCAGGGAGAGCUAGCUAAGAAGAUGCUGGCCAUGAAGCAGCAAAGAGAGAAGGAACUUGAAGACAGGAAGCAAGCUAUACUAGGGGCAAGGAUAGAAGCAGAAUUGAAGAAAGCAGAAGAGGCUGCUAGAAGAAGGCAUGAGAAAGCAGAAAAGAAGGCUAGAGAAGCUGAGAAGAAGAGAGAGGCAGCUGCACAGAAGAAGGAAGCAAUGGCAAUACUGAGGCAGGCAAGAGCAGAGACAAGGCAGAUAAUAGUGGAGACACAAAGAGAGCUUUCUGCUGAGAGGAAGGAGAAACUGGCUGCUGAGAAGAAUGCACAAAAGGAGGCUGCUGCUGCAAAGAAACUAGAAGAGAAGAAAGCCAUUGCUGCACAGAAGAAAGCAGAGAGACAAGCACUCCUAGCAAAGAAGCAGGAAGGGAAACAAGCCCUUGCUGCAAAGAAACAAGCAGAGAGACAAUCCCUUGCAGCAAGGAAAGAACAACUGAGGAAACAAGCACAAAGAAACAUGGAGGAAGCCAGGAAUGUGCCACAAAGAUCAAGCAUGUUUGACAUCUUUAGAUGA